rnacentral:rRNA from 1 species
CAGCGCCGCGGUAAUACCAGCACCUCGAGUGGUCAGGAGGUUUAUUGGGCCUAAAGCAUCCGUAGCCGGUUGCAUAAGUUCUCGGUUAAAUCUAUGCGCUUAACGUAUAGGCCGCCGAAAAUACUGUGCAGCUAGGGAGUGGGAGAGGUACACGGUACUCGAUAGGAAGGGGUAAAAUCCUUUGAUCUAUUGAUGACCACCUGUGGCGAAGGCGGUGUACCAGAACACGUUCGACGGUGAGGGAUGAAAGCUGGGGGAGCAAACCGGAUUAGAUACCCCAGUAGUCCCUGUCUCUUAUACA